rnacentral:rRNA from 1 species
GAUGAACGCUGGCGGCGUGCCUAAUACAUGCAAGUCGAGCGAACGGACGAGAAGCUUGCUUCUCUGAUGUUAGCGGCGGACGGGUGAGUAACACGUGGAUAACCUACCUAUAAGACUGGGAUAACUUCGGGAAACCGUAGCUAAUACCGGAUAAUAUUUUGAACCGCAUGGUUCAAAAGUGAAAGACGGUCUUGCUGUCACUUAUAGAUGGAUCCGCGCUGCAUUAGCUAGUUGGUAAGGUAACGGCUUACCAAGGCAACGAUGCAUAGCCGACCUGAGAGGGUGGUCGGCCACACUGGAACUGAGACACGGUCCAGACUCCGACGGGGGGCAGCAGUAGGGAAUCUUCCGGAAUGGGCGAAAGCCUGACGGAGGAACGCCGCGUGAGUGAUGAAGGUCUUCGGAUCGGAAAACUCUGUUAUUAGGGAAGAACAUAUGUGUAAGUAACUGUGCACAUCUUGACGGUACCUAAUCAGAAAGCUACGGCUAACUACGUG